ACAUCCAGAGAACUUAGCAGAGAUGCUUUGGUGCCUUCGGGAACUCUGAGACAGGUGCUGCAUGGCUGUCGUCAGCUCGUGUUGUGAAAUGUUGGGUUAAGUCCCGNAACGAGCGCAACCCUUAUCCUUUGUUGCCAGCGGUUCGGCCGGGAACUCAAAGGAGACUGCCGGUGAUAAACCGGAGGAAGGUGGGGAUGACGUCAAGUCAUCAUGGCCCUUACGGCCAGGGCUACACACGUGCUACAAUGGCGCAUACAAAGAGAAGCGACCUCGCGAGAGCAAGCGGACCUCAUAAAGUGCGUCGUAGUCCGGAUUGGAGUCUGCAACUCGACUCCAUGAAGUCGGAAUCGCUAGUAAUCGUAGAUCAGAAUGCUACGGUGAAUACGUUCCCGGGCCUUGUACACACCGCCCGUCACACCAUGGGAGUGGGUUGCAAAAGAGGUAGGUAGCUUAACCUUCGGGAGGGCGCUUACCACUUUGUGAUUCAUGACUGGGGUGAAGUCGUAACAAGGUAGGCGUAGCGAG
rnacentral:rRNA from 1 species